CUUCAACGACGACGAGUCUUCGAUGGCGGCGAGCCUUCGACGGCUCCAAAACUGAAAACUAUUAUCUACUAAUCACCUUCAAACUGAAAAGAACCUAGAAAAACUAAAGGAAGGAAAAAGGGAAGGGAAAGAAAAACCUAAGCCACGCUUCGCGCUCCUCUUUGAGUGCACUACAAGAAAUAAUGGAAUUAUAUACGAAAUAUUAUAUACGGAUAUAAAUCUGUAUAUAAAUCAGGUAUUAUAUACGGAAUUUAUGUACGGAUAAAAGAGAAGAUGUUAUAUACGGAUUUUUAUAUACGGAAAUAUCCGUAUAUAAAUUCCGUAUAUAAAGUUGGCGCGUGGUGGCGGGAAAAUUACCCAAGGAUUUAUCCGUAUAUAAAUCAUAUUAUCCGUAUGCAGUUACAACGAAGUAGUUAACUGCGGAUGUUAUAUACGGAUGUGGGAAAAAAAAUUGAAAAUAUUUUUCUGAAUGAUUGGAUGAUGGAGCUGCCUUUUCCCCUCUCUCUCUCGAACCCUCAAACCAUCUUCUCUCGAGCCUGUCUCUCAAACCCUCUGAUGAGUGCAUAUUUAUGUCCAAAUUUAUGCUUUAAAAUUAAAAUUUUUGAUAGAAUAUUUUGUGCUUAAACGAUUGAUUUAUAGAGGAUUUGUGAUUAUUAGAUUUAGCGUGUUUGGAAAUAAAAAGGGCUUAAAGAGUGAUUUUAAUUGCAUAAAUUAUUCUUGGAUGUUCUAAUAUUUAUUUGUGCAGCUGAGGUUAGAGUUUUAUUGGUCCAAAUUGUAAUUUAAAGCCCAAAAUCAGAUUUUAUUUGAUAAAUAAUAUACAGAUGGGCCAAACAGACAGUUUUUACCCUUGCACCCCUAGAUUUCCCUACAUGCACCCCUAGUUUUAAACCAGGCCAACCAUCAAACCCAAACACUAAACCUUUUAUCCCACACCCCUAAUUUUCCUACCCAUACCCCUCCUACACUUAAUAAACCAGAUCCAAUCAGAACAUGCCACCUCAUCUUCUUGCCACGUCAUCAACUUCCACACUGAAACCCUAAUUUCCCUCUACAGUGAAACCCUAGCCGUCAACUUCCGCAGCCACCGCCGUCAACCUCAAGCGUCCUCGCCGUCAGCCACCUUGAAGCCGCCACCGUCAACCUUCAUCACCCUCUUCAACAAAGAUGCUGUGAAACCCAGCUUCGCCACCAUCAAUCUCCACCGCGAAGAUCCAAGUUCGCAUCACCUUCAUCUUCUUCGCGCUGCUACCACCUAGCCGCCGGCCACUUCGUCUUCCUCGACACUGCCACCAAAACCCAAAGCCGCCGUCGCAUAAUCCACCAUCUUCAUCCUCGCGAGCAAGCCACCACAGACCUGCGAUUCGCAUCAUCUCCCUCGACUCUUCUUCCUCGCAGAAACCAUUGCAGAACCAGCCACCAUACUCCUCGCACAUUCAUCUUCUCCAGUAAAGCCCAAGACGUCGUCGUGAGUCUUCUUCAUCGCGCACCAUCUCCUCAUCAACGUCGCUGCCAACGAUUCGCACCUGCACACAGAAAACCAGCCAAGAAACCCANAAUCAAAUCCUAAACGCCUAAAUCACACAUCAACGCUUUCAAACCGCGAUCCAUGGACGCCGCAUCCCAUCUCAUCACUUGCCCCUAUUCAAACCUGCAAUCAGAGAAACCAAUUCGCAUAAAUUUGGGAUUAGAAUCNCUAAAGCAAAUCGCAGACAUGGAGGAGAAGGGGCGAGACCCUAUUCAUCUCUGGAGCGGCGCAGGAGGCAGAAUGAGCAUUCCAAAUUCGUUUACCCCCAAUUCCAAAACCCUAAAUUUGGAUGGAAAAGGAGCAGACACGUGGCGACAUCCUAUUGGCACGUCCAUUUGGUCAAAAUCUGGUCAACUAAGGUGUUCUGGUGCAAUUUUAGUGAAUUCUGAAGGGGUUAAAAUGCAGAUAUAGAAAAAUCAGGGCAUUUGAGUAAUUUUGGAAAGUCAGGAAAAUUAAAAGAUAAAUUCAGUUGUUAAAUUAAUUUAAUUUGGGAAUAUCAACAAAAAAUAUAUCUUCCAAAUAAUAUUAUAAUUAUCUAAAUUUUUUAGUUAUUUGGAAGAUAUAAGAUAAAAGAUUUUAUCAACUGAAUGUUCACAGUCCAAGCCCAAUCAAACCUAUAUAAAGAGACCCAGGGAGGCAGAAGAGGACACCAUUCAUUCAUCCAUUCAUCCACCACUGCUUUCACUUUCAUCAUGUGUUUCUAAACUCCUAGGGCUAUUCUGCUGUAAUUUCAUUAUGGAUUCUGAGGUUAAGUGAUUUAAUGCAAUUGUUUAUUUUGAUUAUUGAUUUAAGUUAUCUCUCUCUAUGUCUUUCAUCUCUCUAUCAU
rnacentral:lncRNA from 1 species